UACAGAGGGUGCAAACGUUGUUCGGAUUUACUGGGCGUAAAGCGUGCGCAGGCGGUUUUGUAAGCCAGAUGUGAAAUCCCCGGGCUUAACCUGGGAAUGGCAUUUGGGACUGCAAGGCUUGAGUGCGGCAGAGGAGACUGGAAUUCCUGGUGUAGCAGUGAAAUGCGUAGAUAUCAGGAGGAACACCGAAUGGCGAAGGCAGGUCUCUGGGCUGACACUGACGCUCAUGCACGAAAGCGUGGGGAGCAAACA
rnacentral:rRNA from 1 species